UUAUAUGCCCCAGUAAAGUGGA
rnacentral:misc_RNA from 1 species